GAUCCUGGCUCAGGAUGAACGCUGGCGGCGUGCUUAACACAUGCAAGUCGAACGGGAAACCUUUUAUUGAAGCUUCGGCAGAUUUAGCUGGUUUCUAGUGGCGGACGGGUGAGUAACGCGUGGGUAACCUGCCUUAUACAGGGGGGAUAACAACCAGAAAUGGUUGCUAAUACCGCAUAAGCGCACAGGACCGCAUGGUCCGGUGUGAAAAACUCCGGUGGUAUAAGAUGGACCCGCGUUGGAUUAGCUAGUUGGCGGGG
rnacentral:rRNA from 1 species